UGGGGAAUCUUGCACAAUGGACGAAAGUCUGAUGCAGCGACGCCGCGUGAGCGAUGAAGCCCUUCGGGGUGUAAAGCUCUUUCGACGGGAACGAUAAUGACGGUACCCGGAGAAGAAGCUGCGGCUAACUACGUGCCAGCAGCCGCGGUAAUACGUAGGGUGCAAGCGUUAAUCGGAAUUACUGGGCGUAAAGCGUGCGCAGGCGGUUUUGUAAGUCUGAUGUGAAAUCCCCGGGCCCAACCUGGGAAUUGCAUUGGAGACUGCAAGGCUAGAAUCUGGCAGAGGGGGGUAGAAUUCCACGUGUAGCAGUGAAAUGCGUAGAUAUGUGGAGGAACACCGAUGGCGAAGGCAGCCCCCUGGGUCAAGAUUGACGCUCAUGCACGAAAGCGUGGGGAGCAAACAGGAUUAGAUACCCUGGUAGUCCACGCCCUAAACGAUGUCUACUAGUUGUCGGGUCUUAAUUGACUUGGUAACGCAGCUAACGCGUGAAGUAGACCGCCUGGGGAGUACGGUCGCAAGAUUA
rnacentral:rRNA from 1 species